GCGGCGCUCGCCGCACUGGUUGUUCAGCACCUUCGGUCCGGUUGAGGUUGUCAAGUCGGACCAAACAGGUUGUUUCUCUGCAGUUUCCAGUAAGUGACCGUUCCAGCCGGGGCUGUGGCUAGAGUGUGAAGGCAAACCGUUACGAAAGAUGAGUAUUUAGUACUCCAUUUGUGCUGUUUUCCUUUUGUGGUAUCAUUCAGCCUUGUGGCUUCAAACAUUGUACUGAAGAUUCUCAGACUUAUUACUACAUGGCAGGGAGGUUUAAUAGACAUGGAUAAGAAGUCCACUCACAGAAAUCCUGAAGAUGCCAGGGCUGGCAAAUAUGAAGGUAAACACAAACGAAAGAAAAGAAGAAAGCAAAACCAAAACCAGCACCGAUCCCGACAUAGAUCAGUGACGUCUUUUUCUUCAGAUGAUCCUAUGUUUCCUUCUUCCUCAUCAUCGUCUUCAGGAAGCCAGACAGAUUCAAGUAUUGAAG
rnacentral:lncRNA from 10 species